UCAUAUAUAUAUAAAUCAUAUAAAUAUAAUUAAAAAAAAAACAAUUAUUAUACUAAAUCACUACUUCCUAAGUACUAAAAAGGAAAUUUAAAUAAAUUAAAGUAAUGAUAUAAUCAUGUACCUUUUGCAUUAUGGUUUUACAAGCUAAAAUUUAAAAAGAAAAUCCCGAAUUCUAAGAGAGCUGUUUUAUCAUUGCUAAGAGCCCACUACUAGUUGUAGCAAUAACUUUAAAAAAUGUUAAAACAGAGGCUACAUACCACCCGCGCUAGAAAAUUGCUGGUUCUUGAUAAACCUUAUUUAUUAAAUCAUGAAAUAAAUGUUUCAAUGUAAGAUUUCAGAGGAUAAGCCCUGCAGUCAUAUGCCACUAAAUUUUAUAUAUUAAAAUUAGGCCUAAAAUCAGCCAUAAAUCACUUUACCGUAUUACACCCCUAAUAAUUAUUUAAGAUGCCCCACAAAAUCAAGAAUUUAGAUAAACAUAUCGUCUUAAAUUACUAUGUAAAAAUAAGUAUUAAUUUAAAUUAUCAACAUAUAAACAAAUCAAAAUUAUAAAGAU
rnacentral:rRNA from 1 species